GCUGGGCAUGGUGACACGUGCCUGUAGUCCCAGCUACUUGGGAGGCUGAGGUGGGAGAAUUACUUGAACCCAGGAGGCAGAGGUUGCAGUGAGUCAAGGUCACACCACUGCAUUCUAGCCUGGAUGACAGAGUGAGACCCUGUCUCUU
ensembl:misc_RNA Metazoa_SRP Metazoan signal recognition particle RNA